CCUAAUUGAAGUCACUGAGCUUGAUACCGGAUGAGACACUCUUACUAGACCUUAACCGAGGCAAGCCUAAUUGAAGUCACUGUACAUGGAAGUCACUGUACAGGGUACUGCCUAAUUGAAGUCACUGUACAUGGAAGUCACUGUACAGGGUACUGCCUAAUUGAAGUCACUGUACAUGGAAGUCACUGUACAGGGUACUGCCUAAUUGAAGUCACUGUACAUGGAAGUCACUGUACAGGGUACUGCCUAAUUGAAGUCACUGUACAUGGAAGUGUAACAUAUUGUAAUUGUGUAAUUAAUUUGCUGUGCAACAGAUGUGCAAACCACUGUACAUUACAAACAACAACAAUAGUCAGCUCAAUGUCAUCUCUAAUAAGCAAACUACAAACUACUGUACAUUACAUUAAACAAUUUCAUUACAACACAACUCGACUACAUUACAAACAACAAAAACCAAUGGUAUAAUAGCUGUGCAACAGAUGUGCAAACCACUGUAUUUUUCUUUUCUACAAUAGCUUUGUCAUUUUUGGCAUUGACAUUUGUUGCAGGUUCCUCUGUGUAAUCUGUAACUCCAUCCACAGCAGAAUUCAAGUAACAGAGUGAGAUUCUUAAACCAAUGGUAUAACUUGAUCUUCUUCAAUAUUUUAGUAGGAAUGAUAUGGUUUUGGUACUGUUGUGAAGCUCUAGCUUAUCUUGGAUAGUCUGCAGUAUAAACAUGGCUAUAUUUCUCAAUCAAAACAUACUGAAACUAAUAGACCAACUUUAACAACUUUCGGGCAAAAUCAGUCCUCCACCAUAUCUCUACAUAUAUAAGACACAACUUCGAAGAUGAAAAACGAAAAGGCAGUCUUAGACUUUUUUACCAAACAAAAAUCAAAUUUUGGUACCUAAAAUUUUUAUAUGAAGAUUUAGAUUAGUUUACUUUAGUGGUUCCAAGAACUUCUUCUUCUUCAAAAAGAAAUCAUCACAAUUGUACAAAAUAAUGAUUCAUCAUUGUAUAUUACCUUGCUUCAUAGCAGACACCCAAAAUGCAAAAAAAAAAACCCCUUUUUCAUAGCUCCCAAUCAGCAGAUAAGGUGCACCUGCAUUAAAAAAUAAUUGUGUUGUAAGUUUCUAAAAAGAGUUGAAUAGCAUUUGACAACUGCUUUGGAAUUCAUAUGUACUUCAAUUCUGGGAAAUUGAUGAUUCAGAGCAAGUUGGAGGCUAGGAACAUCACAAAAAAGUUACCUUACAUCCCUUUUCUAGUAAAAUUUAAGUCAAAGUUGGAUUCCAAAGAAUGUAACAAAGACAGAACUGUGAUACAGUUAGCUUACAUUCCUUUUCUGGUACAUUAAUAAAAUUCCACUUAAAGUUAGAUUUUGUUUACAUGUCCAUGCAAUUGUAUAACUUAAUCUUUGUAGAGAAAAUGAAUAGAAAUGUUACAUUAAAACCUCUAAGAAUAUGCCAGGCUCCCUCGCAACUAAGAACAAAUGCUUAUGCUACAAGGGGUGUGAGAAGGAUGAGAUUUCCAGUAUACUGAAGUAACUGAACAAUAUUACAACUUCAGGCUUUUUUUUCAUGGUCCACCUAUCUAUUAUAUUAAUUCCUCCUCCGUUGAAAAAAUAGUGUCAAAUGCCUCUAAUAAAAAUCAAAAUUUCAAUUAACGUAUAUCUAAAGAAGGUCAAAUAAUAAUAAUUAAACAACGAAAAAACAUAUUUACUACAUAAUAUCAAUGAAUAAAGCAAAUCGAGCAACGUUUACAGGGACAUUCGGAAAUUAAAAAAAAGAAAUGCAAAGGAAAGAUGAUAUGAAUGUGAAACGUAAAUAAACAAAAAUCAAUAAACGGAGCAGAGUAGACCAUCAGCCACAAUCCAAUAAACAACUCUAAUUAAACAAAUAUUGAGAAAAACUCUGUUUAAAACUAUCAAAGUUUGGUGAUAUCAGAAAUUUUAGGAGAGAGAAUCUCACUGACCUGCUGAUUUGCAAACCCUAGCUUCAAAGGGGCUUUGUUCUGUUCUAUGUCCGGCGACUUCGCGAAUCUACCUUACAACUUAGUGAAUGGAAGAGAGGGUUUUCAGAUGGGUUCGACUGGCAGAAAGGGAUUUUCGAUCUGUACGAAUUGGAAGAGUAAGAGAGAUGGAGGGGUUUUCGAUCUGUAUGAAUUGGAAGAGUAAGAGAGAAGGAGGGAGUCUUCCGAUCUGUUUGCCUCUGCUUUACCUUCCGAUCUGUGAGGGAGAGAGAAUCGGGGAGAGAGAAGAUGGAAGAGCCGGCUCUUUGUGAGUGAGGGAGAGAGAAUCGGUAUUCUGAAAGUGUGAGAGGGAGGGAAGACCCGACUCUUUUGACCCGCGUGUUUUUUUUUUUCAUUUGUUUCGUUUGUUAGUCCGUUC
rnacentral:lncRNA from 1 species